AUGAAGGCACGCACACCCAAGGCCGAAGUGUUCACCGUUGCUCUGAGCAACCAGCGAUGCUCGGGAUGCACCACCAGAUGCCCCACCUCCAGCCUCCUUACUCUCCUUUCCCCUGGUCCACCUUCCUCCUCCUCUUCCUCCUCUUCCUCCUCUUCCUCCUCCCCCCCUCCUCUUGGCUCUCCUUUCCCUGGUCCUUCUUCUUCCCCUUCCUCCUCCUCUUCCUCCUCCUCCUCGCCCCCUUCUCUCCCGAUGGCGUGCUGGAGAGUGGUGUGGAACCUGCCGCCCGCCCCGGCCGAGGUGGAGAUGCUGGCGGCGGCGAACGAGGUGGCCACCCAGGGACAGCUGGUCCCUUACGUGUUGCUGGCGGGACCCUGGAAGGACCGCGCUCUGCUGCUCCGGCGGCUGUUGAUGCCGGCAACCGUGACCUUGGCCUUCACUCUGGUGGCCGUGGCAGUGGCCUUCUGGGUGCUGAUGGAGGACUGGCACGGGUUCCCCCAUGAGCCCUGGCCUCCCCUGUGCCUCUUCCGGCCCCGCAUCCUCCUCCAGCUCAGCUGGCCACGGCCCGUCACCCUCCCUCCUCUCCAGACCACGGCUUCUUGUGUCUCUUGGAGGCCUCCCCAUCCUGAGAGGCAUCUGCAGGCCACCCCUUGAGAAAAGGGGGCAGCAGGCAAAGUCUCAGGGCAAAGGCUUGGAGGAGACCCCACCCAGAGGGAAGGUCCCCUUUUUCUGCAGGGAGAAGUAAAAAGGGGCAGCCAGGAAGCUCCCACCAGGUGAGUUGCCCCUUUUUCCAGAGAAAAGCUCCUUGGCCUCGUCUGGGGGGGAUAUAUGGGGUGGCGCUGGCUGCUCUCUGUCCCCUCUGGACCCACAACUUGCUUUCCUCCCCCAGGCAGGUCAUCCUUCCUCCAGACCCUUGCCUGUGGGGCUAUGGAUGGGGAGGGGACAUAUGGGCCUGGGUGGGGGCCAAGGGACUCCUGGGCUCGUCUGAUUUGACCUGAUGGUUGUUCUCACCCCAUGUCCUUGAGCCCUUUCUCUCUGGCCAGUCUGCUUAUUAUCCCCGUCUCACCUGCCUCCUUUCCUCCUGCCCUUCAGAAUCCUCUGCCCAUGUCUUCUGCCCGCUUUCCUCCUGCCCUUCAGAAUCCCCUCCCCGUGUCUCCUGCCCCCUUUCCUCCUGCACCUACAAGUCCUCCCCGGGUGUCUUCCACUCUAAUCCGUCCUGCCCCAACCCUCCAGCCUCGCUGUACCAAAAGUUGAAGCUUGGGGGAAGGCAUGAGCUCCCCUUCCAUCAACCCCCAGAAGAUCCAGCCCAGGUGAGGGCGGACAGUUGGUCUCGAGGAAGACCAAAACGAAGACACCAAGUGGAAGAAAGCAGAGGCCAGUCAAGGAGCAUCGGUCUCAAGGGAGGACCAAAACGAAGACACCAGGUGGAAGAAAGCAGAGGCCAGUCAAGGAGCAUCCCCCAUGAAAGGGGCAAGGGGUGAAAGGAAGAAGGCGAAGCUGAGCAACCGGCAGGAACGUUCCAGGAGGAGAAGGGAAGGGAAAAGGCCUUGAGCUUUGGAGACCGACUGCGAGGAAGAACGGAAGGCAACCCGGAGUCGAAGGGCCAAGAAGCUAGAGCUUCAUGCUCCCUGGGUGGUGCCCGUUCUUCUCCUGCUGUCCCGGGAAGUCCACUCCUUCUUUUCUCCUGCGGUAGAUGAGGCGACCCGAGCCUCUUCUCUGGGAACGCUCCAGGAGCACUGUGUUAUGAAGGACAGAGCGUGUGUUUGCGUGUGUGUGAUGGAGGUUCCAGAAAGACCAGCCCCCCUCCAGACCUGAAAAGAAGAAGGUGGAGACUUGCAAAGAGAGACGGGAUGGUGAGCCUGAGACAAAUCUGCAGAGGGGAGCAAGGCGUACCCGCGUCUCACUCCAGAAGGAGCUCCAUCUGGAAGGGGAACUGCAAAAUUGGGACUUCUUUCCAGACCAGAAGAGGAGAAGCCAGUUAGCUCAAGCCAAGUCUGUGGCUAAUGGGGAAAAAUGGACGCAAGGGCAAGGAAGCAUUCCCACGUGGCAACAGAUGGGAUCGGCCCAGGACCCCUGCUUGUCCAGAAGGGACUUCUUCUGCCCAAUUUGAUAUCACCUGUGAAUUUCAUAAGCAUUCCCUGCACUCUUUCAUCAUCCAGGCCAUUAAUAAAAAUAUUGAAGAGCAGCGGGUCCA
rnacentral:lncRNA from 1 species